UUUACAAGAGAAAAACCCGAAACUAACAAUUUUUCAGUUAUAUUGAACUCGCACGUGCUCCUGUCAAAUUGAUAGGUAUAUAAAUAAGAAGUUUUAAUGUAGUAUUCCUUUAUUUUGGCUCGAAUAUUCUCAUUUUUCGUGAUGUUUAAACAGCAUUGUGUACUCAAAUCUCGUGCAGAUCCUUUUCCAUUUGAUUUCUAUCUAAGAAUUGUAUGACUGUGCACGUAUGAGCACGUGCAAUUAUUCUCCACCAGUUAAAAUAAGCUAGAAAGUCGGUUUAUAACCUGUACGGGAUGAUGUUUAAUACAACUUGAACUAGUUAAAGAGCUUCACUGGAUAAAAACCUUUACUAAAACGCUCAUUUAAAAUAUUUUAAGUUAAGCAUGGUUCAUUUCUCUACAUUAUAUUUAUUUGCAUUUUAUCGAUUUCUUUUUAUUUUGUUUUUGUUAGUGCGUUAAACAUAACGAGACAAUGAUGAUGACGAGAGACAAAUUUCUAACCAUGAACCUGAAAAAAAGGAAAGAACUCGGAAACAGAUAAACCAACCGUUACAGAAAUCACAGAAAAAUAAUACUACUAAUACAGGGGGGAAUAAUUCUGGAAAAACUGACACUAAUACUGGAGGAGAUAAUACCGGAAGUGGGGAUACAAAUACUGGGGGAGGUACUACCGGAAGUAGCGACUCACAUACAGGAGGUGGCUAUUCCGGUGGUGGGGAUAUAUUGGGGGGUGGCUAUUCCGGUGGUGGGGAUAUUGGGGGCGGUUAUUCCGGAGGUGGGGACUCUGGAGGAAGCAGUGGAGGUGGGGGAGGCGGCGGUGGGUGUGGAUACGAUGGUGGUGACGAUUAAAGUUUUU